rnacentral:rRNA from 1 species
AAUGAACGUUGGCGGCAUGGAUUAGGCAUGCAAGUCGAGCGAGAAGAGUUUUGAAGCUUGCUUUAGAACUCGGACAGCGGCGAAAGGGAGAGUAACGCGUAGUUAUGUGCCCUAGGGUCCGGAAUAGCCACGGGAAACUGUGGGUAAUGCCGGAUAACAUCCCCGGAUCAAAGGUGUGAUUCCGCCCUAGGAGCAGACUGCGUCCUACUAGCUAGUUGGUGGGGUAAUGGCUCACCAAGGCAAUGAUGGGUAGCGGGUGUGAGAGCAUGACCCGUCUCACUGGGACUGAGACACUGCCCAGACACCUACGGGUGGCUGCAGUCGAGAAUCUUCGGCAAUGGGCGAAAGCCUGACCGAGCGAUGCCGCGUGCGGGAUGAAGGCCCUCGGGUUGUAAACCGCUGUCGUAGGGGAGGAAGGUUCCGUGAAGAGCGGAAUUUGACCUAUCCUAGGAGGAAGUACGGGCUAAGUUCGUGCCAGCAGCCGCCGUAA